GCAGAGUAAGAGCGGAAGCGUCAAGUGUCCGGGGGACGGGGAGUUGCCCUCGGAACGAAAAGCCGAAAGGCUUGCGGUUUCCGGUCUGCAUCCCGCUGC
rnacentral:ncRNA from 1 species